UUACAUAUUCGUUUUUUCAGCUUGGAAGUCGGAACUACUAGGUUAUUUGGAUAUGAAAUCAGUUAAAGACUCAUUGAUGUACUACGCCUUCAAUACAUUGUUAAUAAUGCUAUUAGUUUUCACAUAUAUUGGUGGCUCAUUUGUACGACAAUCAUAAGAGAGCUUCAAAACAGAGGAGAAGUGGGAGAAGAGAUAAGAUCAGAUUCGGAGGAUGAUGACUAGGGUUUGCUAGAGGUCAUGGUGAAAAAUGGUUUUCAGAUACCUCAGAAUUAAUGACA